rnacentral:SRP_RNA from 1 species
GCCGGGCACAGCAGCGCGUGCCUGUAGUCCCAGCUACUCGGGAGGCUGAGGUGGGAGGAUCACUUGAGCCCAGGAGUUCUGGGCUGAAGUGUGCUAUGCCGAUCAGGUGUCCACACUAAGUUCAGCAUCAAUAUAGUGACCUCCCGGAAGUAGGGGACCACCAGGUUGCCUAAGGAGGGGUGAGCCAGCCCAGGUCAGAAACAGAGCAGGUCAAAACUCCCGUGCUGAUCAGUAGUGGGAUCGCGCCUGUGAAUAGCCACUGCACUUCAGCCUGGACAACACAGCGAGACCCCGUCUCU